GAUGAAGAACGUAGCGAAAUGCGAUAAGUAAUGUGAAUUGCAGAAUUCAGUGAAUCAUCGAAUCUUUGAACGCACCUUGCGCUCCUUGGUAUUCCUCGGAGCAUGCCUGUUUGAGUAUCAUGAAACUCUCAAAGAAAAUCUUUUGUUAAUUCAAUUGGUUUGCUUUGGACUUGGAGGUUUUUUUUGCAGAUUAAUUUCUGCUCCUCUUAAAUAUAUUAGCUGGAUCUCAGUAUAUGCUCGGUUCCACUCGGCGUGAUAAGUAUCACUCGCUGAGGACACUGGUAAAAAAGGUGGCCGGGAAAUACAGAUGAACCGCUUCAUACAGUCCAUUGACUUGGACAAUAUAAGUUUUAAGAUCUGAUCUCAAAUCAGGUAGGACUACCCGCUGAACUUAAGCACAUCAAAAGCGGAGGA
rnacentral:misc_RNA from 1 species